rnacentral:misc_RNA from 1 species
AAGUCGUAACAAGGUUUCCGUAGGUGAACCUGCGGAAGGAUCAUUAGUGAAAGGAAAAGGAGUUCUCUCAACCCCUUUCCCGAAAUCCUGUAUUCACCCCAAGUUCCUAAAAAUUUUUACAAUGAAAAACUUGCAAAAAGACCAUCCACGAACGGAUGGCGUCUAAUGCAAAAACGAAAACUUUCAACAACGGAUCUCUUGGCUCUC